rnacentral:rRNA from 1 species
AUACGGAGGGUGCAAGCGUUACUCGGAAUCACUGGGCGUAAAGCGCGCGCAGGCGGCCUGAUAAGUUGGAUGUGAAAGCCUACGGCUCAACCGUAGAACUGCAUCCAAAACUGUCAGGCUAGAGUGCGGGAGAGGAAGAUGGAAUUAGUUGUGUAGGGGUAAAAUCCGUAGAGAUAACUAGGAAUACCAAAAGCGAAGGCAAUCUUCUGGAACACUACUGACGCUGAGGCGCGAAGGCGUGGGGAGCAAACAGGAUUAGAAACCCGAGUAGUCC